AAAUUGAAGAGUUUGAUCAUGGCUCAGAUUGAACGCUGGCGGCAGGCUUAACACAUGCAAGUCGAACGGUAACAGGAAGCAGCUUGCUGCUUUGCUGACGAGUGGCGGACGGGUGAGUAAUGUCUGGGAAACUGCCUGAUGGAGGGGGAUAACUACUGGAAACGGUGGCUAAUACCGCAUAACGUCGCAAGACCAAAGAG
rnacentral:rRNA from 1 species